rnacentral:rRNA from 1 species
GAUGAACGCUGGCGGCGUGCCUAAUACAUGCAAGUCGAGCGAACAGACGAGGAGCUUGCUCCUCUGACGUUAGCGGCGGACGGGUGAGUAACACGUGGAUAACCUACCUAUAAGACUGGGAUAACUUCGGGAAACCGGAGCUAAUACCGGAUAAUAUAUUGAACCGCAUGGUUCAAUAGUGAAAGACGGUUUUGCUGUCACUUAUAGAUGGAUCCGCGCCGCAUUAGCUAGUUGGUAAGGUAACGGCUUACCAAGGCGACGAUGCGUAGCCGACCUGAGAGGGUGAUCGGCCACACUGGAACUGAGACACGGUCCAGACUCCUACGGGAGGCAGCAGUAGGGAAUCUUCCGCAAUGGGCGAAAGCCUGACGGAGCAAUGCCGCGUGAGUGAUGAAGGUCUUCGGAUCGUAAAACUCUGUUAUUAGGGAAGAACAAAUGUGUAAGUAACUAUGCACGUCUUGACGGUACCUAAUCAGAAAGCCACGGCUAACUACGUG